AAUUGGUGUCUUCCCGCCUCUUUAUAUGUCUCUGGCUUGUGAGAAAGAUCAGUCUCUAAGGUUUCCUAUGUCUGAAUAUCCAAAAACAAUGAGCAAAAGGGACAGACCAGGGAUGCUGGUGUCCAAAUGCAGCAUCGAUAUUGGUGGUGCUGACAAGCGUUCAUGUAACUCAGUUUCAUCAUUCUAUGGUUCUGGCAUGCAAAUAUCAAUGAGUUCUUAAUUGCCAAUCUUUUGAGCCCUCUGAGGAGUUCCACAGUGUAAAGAGGUUUUGUCUUUGUCUUCAGCCAUCUUGGGUGACCAUGUUUUCUCACUUUUUUGAUAAAAUGCAGCACCAAUGAAUCAAAAGCAAAGGCGAUUCAUUAUUGCUAUGGCUGCUCAAACUGAAAGCGAUGUGAUCAUGAAGAGAAGACGGCCUAUUAAAGAGCAACGGCGUGUUGUUGUUACUGGAAUGGGUUUUGUAACCUCAGUUGGUCAUGAUUUAGAUGUAUUCUACACCAAUCUUCCCGACGGUGUUAGCGGGAUAAGUAGAAUUAAGUGCUUUGACUGCGCAGAGUUUCUAACUGCAUGUUUUCUUUGGCUCAAAAACUACUGCAAUAAAUGGUUGUAUCAACUUUAUUACUCCCAGUCUCAUUAUUAGUUGUAACAGAAAAUUGCUGGAUAAAUCAAGUCUUUCUCACCAUAUGGAUGGGUCUCGCAGAAGCUUUCGAAGAGGGCAGAUAAGUUUUUGCUUUAUAUGCUUCAUUUGAAGGUCUGAAGGUAAGUGAAGUUGCAUCAUCUUGUAAAUUCAGGACUUUUAGAAGGUUCAAAACGGCAAGCAGAGAGUAAAAUGCAUGGAUUUGGUUAGCUUAAAAACAAUCGGAUGAACUAGUGCCCUAGUGUAAAAUUAAUUGCUGAUGCAACAUUCCAGAAAUUUACAUUUGGCCAGUUUCAGGGAUGGAUGGGCCCUAACUACUCAGCAUCCUCCUCUUGUUCAUUUUGCAACGUUUGUGUACUUAAUUCUGCAAAUCAUAUCGUCAGAGGUGAAACUGUAAGCCUCUCACUAUCCCAUUGAGAUAGUAUUUACAAUGCUGCUGCUAGAUCCACUCUUGUUUCAGGAAUGCAUCUAAUCUUUCUUUAUGAAACAUAGUUUCUUGGUAGAAAUGUUCAUGGUUAUGUAAAAAAAUAUUUAGUCAUUAUUUUUCUCCUGACAGUCAUCCUCAUCUUGGGAUAUUUGCAGGACUCGAGGCUUUGUGGCGGCUCCGAAGCACCUAUUACUCCAAAUUUGGUAAAAAUGUAUGUAAACUGCAUUUUCAGUCAAAAGGUUCAUUUGUUCUCAGUCAGAGUCUUAAGCCAAGUUGCGAGUUCUGUAAUUGCGCAGGAUCGCGAUGCACUUGUUCUGGUAGAAGGAGCUGGUGUUUUGCUGCUAGAAGAACUGGGGCAUGCUAAGGAACACUUGCUGCAUAUCACCCCUUAUGCAGCCUGUUUGGAUUUUCCCUUUUACAUGUACAAGGUUUUCUCCAUUUAGAUUCCAUUUUCGUAUGACAGAAAAGAGGAGCAAAAUAUCUGUGCAUAGUUCCUUGGUGGAAGCUGCACUUGUGAUGCUUAUCGCAUAACUGAACCUCAUCCUGAUGGUGAGAAACAAGUCUAUUGAAAACCUAAAUACUAAUUUGACAUUUUACAAAAACAUUCAAAUUUAA